GCCCGUUCUCUUCCGGCCGGAGGCAGUGGCGGGGUUCUCGCCGGUCCUGCGGGUCGCUGCUUUGCUGUGGGUUAGCAGCACCCUGAGCGGAGCGGAAGAGCUGCCCGCCGCCGCGUAACCCCGAGGCCGAGACUCCUGGCCUGGCCUCCUUGGGCCCACGACGCCUGCCCCGCGGAGCGGACCCAUGGGCCUGAGGUUUGUGUGCGGGGCCUCAGGCGAGCGCUGGCGCAGCCUGUCCCCCAUCGUCUGCGCCCUGCGGGCCUGGCCCUCCCCGUGGAAGGACCGCGGGCUUCGGGGCCCCACGCUGGGGGGCUGACUCCUGCCACACACACAGCGGUGGCCGCGGGCCUGGGGCGGCAGCACAGCCGUUCUGCUCGGGCUGCGUGAAGCUGACCCCGCUCUCUGUGCACCUACUUUUGCUGCGUUUGGUGCUGAGCCUGAAGUCCCAGGACAGGCGGCUGAGGGGGAAAGAUGGUGUGAAUUGGGUGGGCAGAGACAACUGAAAGCCACAGGACCCGGUUGGCACCUUUUUGGCCGCCUGGGCCUUUGCCUGCAGCCCCGCUCCCUGGGUCACCCGAAGGAGGAGCUGGCGCUCUUACCGGGCGCAGAAGCACCCGACCUACGCUGGAGGAAACGGUCCCCCUGGGCAGGAGAAGCUUUGGGCUUGGCUGGAGCACACUCACGGAACCACGCCAACGCCUGGCCUGUAGCCAGCUCCCACCUCCCCUCCCACCUUCUAAAAUGCUUGCGGAUCUCACGUGGCCGACCCUAACCAGAUACACAUGGGGAAAGGAAUCAGGUGGCACACACACUGCCUUUACUCCAUAGAGAACUUCCAAUUGUGGGUAAGAACAAAGCCCCACCUCUGCCUAAUAGAUGCAGUUUUCCACCUGCAGCCAAAAAGACAACCUGUUAUUAGCUUUUUUCCCAGAGGACAGGCAUCUCUAUGAAACUGCCAUUGCAAAAUUUGCUGACAGUGAGAUAACCAGCUCCAUCUUGCUUCUAACCUCCAUGCCCUCCUUGUUUAUUGCUGCGCGCAGGUUGAACUGUGGGAGGAACUUAGUUUAAAACAAAGAUGAUAACAGCCCUUUCCCAAAAGAAACCUUUCCUGGGGACUAGCCUGCUUUUGUGGGACCAACAGAUUAGCCACAAGAUUAGAAACUACGGUUGAAGAGUCACGCAGCGGGAGGCUACAGGAUUCUGACCCUUCCCAAACUGCUCCUGGCGAUAACAUCACCAUCGUAAAGCCUAAGAUCAGCACUUGAUGGGUCACCUGGCACCACCCAGGCUCAUCUGAUGUUGUGGCACCCAGGAACUGACUCAGUGCGAAAACAGCUUCGACUCCCUGUGAUUUCAUCUCUGACCUGACCAAUGGGUACUUCUGACUCACUGGCUGCCCCCCACCCACCAGCUUAUCUUUAAAAACUCCAAACCCCAGAUGCUCAGGGAGACCGAGUAAUAAUAAAACUCCAGUCUCCCACACAGCUAGCUCUGCGUGAAUUACCUUUUCUCUGUUGCAAAUGCCCUUUCUUGAUAAAUUGGCUGUCUAGGUAACAGGGAAGGUGAACCCAUUGGGCAGUUACACUUUUAUCCACCCUUCCAGCUGGAUCACGCGCCCUCUUCAAUGACAUGACACGCAGCUAGAGUGUAUGAGCUUGCUGCCGGCACCUUCCGUCCUGGAUCGCAUAGCAAGGCCUCAACGGACAGCCAGGUGCCUGGUCCGGUCCCACAUUUUUUUCUGUCUUGUUCUCGUUUCCUCUUUGCUUGGCCAAAGAGGGUUGGGCCAGGGUCCUGAGUGCAAGGGCUUGGCUUUGUGAAUUAAAGUGGCAGUAGCCGUGUGGCAGAGAAAAUUUGUAGAUGGGUGAAAUCCUGCAGCUGUUGAUGUUAACAGCAUCCUGGGCCUACACAGUGACAAAGUGUAUAUAGACAGCCAGCCUAGUUGGUGGAUGUGACAACCCCAGACUCUUCUAGAUUUGUGGAUCCGUGCACCUGCCAGACCUGUCUCUGUGCCAUCUGGGGAGGCUGGGUCAGCACAGACGCAACGCAGUCUCCUCCCACCUCCGACAGUGCGGUGUCCUGAAUGGAGAACCCCAGCACCCAGAAGCAUCCACUGAAGGACUAAAUUCUACACAUGAAGGCAAACGUCCGUGGUUGACAGAAAUUACACUGGCCAGAAUCCCCAGUCCCCAUGAGGCUUGUCCAGACGCAGUGAACCAGUCGCAGCUGACAACACACAGACCAUUCCCGAUCCCAGAGGUGCAUUUCAGGAUUCAUUCUAUUUCAUCAGAGAUGGGGUCUUCCUGUGUUGCCCAGGCUGGUCUCGAACUCCUGGGCUGAAGCAAUCUUCCUGCCUUGGCCUCCCAGAGGGUUGGAAUUGCAGAUGUGAGGUACUUCUUUGAUAGUGCCUCCACGCAUGCAGAUGACGUGGAGAGCUCCGCGCGGCACAGGGCAGGAAGCUGGUGUGCACUCUCAUGGAUCCGAAGCCAACGCACGCCUCUCAACUGAGGACUCUGCCCCUCUGGCAUUCCUCCAGCCACCAGCCCUGGGGGCCAGGAGCCACCGAGUGGGUCACACAGGCUUAGAGGGCAACGAGGGCAGGAGCUCACCCUGGCGGUCCCCAUGCAGACAAGAGGGUCACUGGCUUCCUUGCUUUGCUCUUCCUGGACAUCUUCCUCGACAUUCAUCUUUCCAUCCUACCAAGAGCGUGGAAACCACAGGGCAUGAGGACAGGCGGAGACAACGCUGGACCAUCUCACAGCCACAUCAAGAGGCUGCCCACAUCAGUGCUUUCUACGUGGCUGCAAGGAACACAAACCUGUGUGCUCCAUUUGCCCACUGGCACUAGGCCUCCUGCCCACCACCCGCUUCUAGGCUAUUCGAGCCGCAGGAGCUACAGGCUGCUAGAGAACCCUGCGGCAGGACGCUGGGCGCGGUUCAGCUUUUGCCAGGGAGCAGCAUAGGACUGGGAUUUGGAAGGUGUACAGUGGCUGUGGGCUUUAGCACGAGGAGUGUCUACAGCACCUUCUGCUCCUCCAGGUAACCUAGUGUUUUUAUCAGUAUCCAUUUUCCUGUGUGGAUCUCUUCUGCUUGAAACCUGUCCUGCCUAUUUUUCUUCCCUGGACCCUGACUGAUACACUCUUAAAACGAGAAAAGGGUACCGAUUUAUAAAGUUCGUGAAUUAAAAACUACACCAGUCAUAGAAACUCAAUGACAUCACUCAAAGAAAAUUCACAACUCUAGCCUUGAGUUAGCUCCCUCGAUAGUAUGAUGAGGUCAUGCAGAUAGAAUCAUACAGUUAUUAACAAAAGUAGUUGAUGUUAACCGAGUAAUCAGUUUUAUCUGUGUUCCUUUGAGACAGAGAGAGUGAGAGAGAGCGUGAGCAAGUGAGUGCACACACUAUUGUUAAAGUCUUCUCUCUAAAGUUUUAAUAUCUGAUAUACCAUAAACACCCAGAUAAAGAACUUUAGAGAAACUGGUUAAAAAGAUUUAAAAUUCCCAACUGUAAUAAAUCCCUAAAAUGAACACCAAAAAAA